rnacentral:rRNA from 1 species
AUACGAAGGGUGCAAGCGUUACUCGGAAUUACUGGGCGUAAAGCGUGCGUAGGUGGUUGUUUAAGUCUGUCGUGAAAGCCCUGGGCUCAACCUGGGAAUGGCGAUGGAAACUGGGCGACUAGAGUGUGGCAGAGGGUAGUGGAAUUCCUGGUGUAGCAGUGAAAUGCGUAGAGAUCAGGAGGAACAUCCGUGGCGAAGGCGACUGCCUGGUCCGACACUGACACUGAGGCACGAAAGCGUGGGGAGCAAACAGGAUUAGAUACCCUGGUAGUCCACGCCCUAAACGAUGCGAACUGGAUGUUGGGUGCAAUUUGGCACGCAGUAUCGAAGCUAACGCAUUAAGUGCGCCGCCUGGGGAGUACGGUCGCAAGACUGAAACUCAAAGGAAUUGACGGGG